ACGAACGCUGGCGGCGUGCUUUAUACAUGCAAGUCGAACGAUGAAGUUCCUUCGGGAAUGGAUUAGUGGCGAACGGGUGAGGAACACGUGAGAAACCUGCCUUUCAUUCUGGGGAUAACACCGGGAAACCGGUGCUAAUACCGGAUACUCCGUCUUGGCGGCAUCGCCGAGCCGGGAAAAAAUUUUGAUGAAAGAUGGUCUCGCGGCCUAUCAGCUAGUUGGUGAGGUAAAGGCUCACCAAGGCGACGACGGGUAGCCGGCCUGAGAGGGCGACCGGCCACACUGGGACUGAGACACGGCCCAGACUCCUACGGGAGGCAGCAGUAGGGAAUAUUGGGCAAUGGGCGCAAGCCUGACCCAGCGACGCCGCGUGAGGGAUGAAGGUCUUCGGAUUGUAAACCUCUUUCAGUAGGGAAGAAGCGAAAGUGACGGUACCUAAAGAAGAAGCACCGGCUAACUAUGUGCCAGCAGCCGCGGUAAUACAUAGGGUGCAAGCGUUGUCCGGAAUUAUUGGGCGUAAAGAGCUCGUAGGUUGUUUGUCGCGUCGAUUGUGAAAAUCUGAGGCUCAACCUCAGACCUGCAGUCGAUACGGGCAGACUAGAGUGUGGUAGGGGAGACUGGAAUUCCUGGUGUAGCGGUGGAAUGCGCAGAUAUCAGGAGGAACACCAAUGGCGAAGGCAGGUCUCUGGGCCAUAACUGACACUGAGGAGCGAAAGUGCGGGGAGCGAACAGGAUUAGAUACCCUGGUAGUCCGCACCGUAAACGGUGGGCACUAGUUGUGGGAACCUUCCACGGUUUCC
rnacentral:rRNA from 1 species